rnacentral:rRNA from 1 species
GACGAACGCUGGCGGCGUGCUUAACACAUGCAAGUCGAACGGAAAGGCCCUGCUUUUGUGGGGUGCUCGAGUGGCGAACGGGUGAGUAACACGUGAGUAACCUGCCCUUGACUUUGGGAUAACUUCAGGAAACUGGGGCUAAUACCGGAUAGGAGCUCCUGCUGCAUGGUGGGGGUUGGAAAGUUUCGGCGGUUGGGGAUGGACUCGCGGCUUAUCAGCUUGUUGGUGGGGUAGUGGCUUACCAAGGCUUUGACGGGUAGCCGGCCUGAGAGGGUGACCGGCCACAUUGGGACUGAGAUACGGCCCAGACUCCUACGGGAGGCAGCAGUGGGGAAUAUUGCACAAUGGGCGGAAGCCUGAUGCAGCAACGCCGCGUGCGGGAUGACGGCCUUCGGGUUGUAAACCGCUUUCGCCUGUGACGAAGCGUGAGUGACGGUAAUGGGUAAAGAAGCACCGGCUAACUACGUGCCAGCAGCCGCGGUGAUACGUAGGGUGCGAGCGUUGUCCGGAUUUAUUGGGCGUAAAGGGCUCGUAGGUGGUUGAUCGCGUCGGAAGUGUAAUCUUGGGGCUUAACCCUGAGCGUGCUUUCGAUACGGGUUGACUUGAGGAAGGUAGGGGAGAAUGGAAUUCCUGGUGGAGCGGUGGAAUGCGCAGAUAUCAGGAGGAACACCAGUGGCGAAGGCGGUUCUCUGGGCCUUUCCUGACGCUGAGGAGCGAAAGCGUGGGGAGCGAACAGGCUUAGAUACCCUGGUAGUCCACGCUGUAAACGGUGGGUACUAGGUGUGGGGUCCAUUCCACGGGUUCCGUGCCGUAGCUAACGCUUUAAGUACCCCGCCUGGGGAGUACGGCCGCAAGGCUAAAACUCAAAGGAACUGACGGGGCCCCGCACAAGCGGCGGAGCAUGCGGAUUAAUUCGAUGCAACGCGUAGAACCUUACCUGGGUUUGACAUGGAUCGGGAGUGCUCAGAGAUGGGUGUGCCUCUUUUGGGGUCGGUUCACAGGUGGUGCAUGGCUGUCGUCAGCUCGUGUCGUGAGAUGUUGGGUUAAGUCCCGCAACGAGCGCAACCCUUGUUCACUGUUGCCAGCACGUUAUGGUGGGGACUCAGUGGAGACCGCCGGGGUCAACUCGGAGGAAGGUGGGGAUGACGUCAAGUCAUCAUGCCCCUUAUGUCCAGGGCUUCACGCAUGCUACAAUGGCUGGUACAGAGAGUGGCGAGCCUGUGAGGGUGAGCGAAUCUCGGAAAGCCGGUCUCAGUUCGGAUUGGGGUCUGCAACUCGACCUCAUGAAGUCGGAGUCGCUAGUAAUCGCAGAUCAGCAACGCUGCGGUGAAUACGUUCCCGGGGCU